rnacentral:lncRNA from 10 species
ACAGGGUAACAAUUUUAUUUAAUCAUAGGUUUCCUGGGAGCAUGACAUCCUUUAACAUUAUGCUGCCAUACAGUAAAUGUCCCCAAAAUUAUAACUUUUAUUAUUACAGAACAGCCAAGUGGAUAACUCCAAAUUUCACUGAUUGUAGGGGUAAAAAACUACCACCAUUCAUUGGUUCCAGAAGAGAGGAAUAGAAGCUGCAAAUAACUGGCUAUUUAUUAAGAGUAACUGGCACAGCUAAGAUAAGGGUAGAAACUGACAACAGGAAAUCUUCACAUUUGAACAGUGAUGUCUCAGCACCAUUUAUUUUUCUCUGGAUGAGGGAAAAACAUAAAGUGGAGGAAUGGAAAAGGACACAAAGGUUGGAGUGGUGGGAUUAAUAAUAGCAUCCCAAAGGCUGAUGCGUGCAUUUAUUGAGGACAUUGAGGAAAUUACAUAAUCAAUUCCAAAUUGUUGUUUAAGAAAAUACAAUACUAGUUAGGAUUUUUUUUAUCUCUUCAAUGGAAAGAUAUAGAUAUAGACACAAAUAUGUGUACAUACACACACAUGAAAAUAUGUGUUUAUUAUUUUGCUGAAACAUUCCAAGUAAACAGCAGAUACCACCACUGCCCCCAAAUGCUUCAGCAUAGAUAUCCUAAGACUAGAGACACGUGCCCACAAUAUUAUUAUCAAACAAAAUUUACUAAUAUAAUUAAUGCAUAGUCCAUAUUAAAUUUCACCGUUAUUCCAAAAGGGAUUUUAAGGAGUUUUUUUAAGUCCAAGAUCCAAUUAAAAUUCCACAUGAUAUUUACUUGUUAAAUUUCUUUUAGCUUAAGCUGACAAUUCUCUUUGAAUAAAUUAUGACAUUGAAGGUUGCAAAAUGCUGGUUUUUAAGUAUGUCAUUUCUUCUAUACUUAUUUGCUGGUUUUUAAAUGAUGUUUUGUUACAAAAACAUUGCAAAUACAUUUUAAAUAUCAAGAAAAUCAAAAGAAAUUCAUAUGACUAAUUUUUCUAUUAAACAGGGAAGAUUCCUGUGCUGAUUAUUUGUUAGUUUUGCCAGCCCAAUAUGUUCUCUCUCUCUCUCUUGCUUUCUGUGUGUGUGUAUUGUUUUUGUGUAUGUGUAUGUGCAUGUGUUUUGUUUUUGUUUUUGUUUGCACCAUUUCAGAUAGCAAAACCUUAAUUUUCUUUUCUUUUAUGGGAUCCUUACCAUCCUAUUCAUCUGUUCACAUGGUUUGGAGAGGAGGGGAAUUUCCCUCCUUUCUUUUUCCUUUUUUGAGACAGGGUCACGUUCUAUUGCCCCAGCUGGAGUGCAGUGGCACAAUCUUUGCUCACUUCAACCUCCGCCUCCCAUGUUCAUGUGAUUCUCCUGCCUCAGCCUCCCAAGUAGCUGGGAUUACAGAUGUACACCACCACAUCUGGCUAAUUUUUGUAUUUUAGUAGAGAUGGGGUUUUGCCACCUUGGCCAGGGUGGUCUCUAACUCCUGAUCUCAAAUGAUCUGCCCACUUCAGCCUUCCAAAGUGCUGGGAUUACAGGCUUCAGUUACUGCACCAGCCCCUCCUUUCAACUUUUAAGGAUAGAGACAUAACCCAUGACUGACCAAUUAGAGAAUUCUGCAUCCAAGUCCACAGAACAGGGAUAGGCACAUGACCCAAGUGAGGUAAAGGGUUUUGUUGGAAUUAUUAGAAAGGAGAUGUUAUCUUUCUCUGGCACUGUUAAAUGCAGAAUAAGUAAGUCUGGAAUUAUAAAUAAAUAAUUCAUAAUUACUGAAUGAGACCAGCCGACCUGUUGUAAUGCUGCUUCUCUUGCUUAUUUCUAGUCUCAGUUUGGUAUUUCUUUCUUCCUUUUUUUUUUUUUUUUUUUUUUUUUCUUUUUGAGAUGGAGUCUCGUUCUGUCACCCAGGCUAGAGUGCAGUGGCGCAAUUUCAGCUCACUGCAACCUCCGCCUCCUGGGUUCAAUCAACUCUCUUGUCUCAGCCUCCCGAGUAGCUGGGACUAUAGGUGCAUGCCACCAUGACCGGGUAAUUUUUGUAUUUGUUUAGUAGAGACGAGGUUUCACCAUAUUCAUCAGGCUGGUCUUGAACUCCUGAGCUCAGAUGAUCCAUCCACCUCGGCCUCCCAAAUCAGUUUGAUAUUUCAAUAGUCAGAACAUGAUUACAAGGUCCCACAAUAGGCUGUCUGCAAGCUGAGGAGCAAAGAGAGCCAGUUCGAGUCCCAAAACUGAAGAACUUAGAGUCCGAUGUUCGAGGGCAGGAAACAUCCAGCACAGGAGAAAGAUGUAGGCUGGGAGGCUAAGUCCAUCUCGCUUCUUCACAUUUUUCUGCCUCGUUUUCUUUCAUGUUUUUGUUAAUUAAAGCAAAACAUUUACGCUAAGUUCUAGUCCAGCACGUAGAUGUACGUUGUUUACCCUGGGAGAAUACACAGCCUAGACCACUCAUCACCCCAAAGUGUCCUGUCUCUUAUGGUCGAGAUUGCAGAGGUGAAAUAAACUCCAGUCUCCCAUAGCGCUCCUAGGCUUAUUAGGAAGAGGAAAUUCCCACCUAAUAAAUUUUGGUCAGACCG